GUCUGGAUAGCUCAGUCAGUAGAGUUUGAGACUCUUAAUCACCUCAUUGUGGGUUCGAGCCCCAUGCUGGGCA